GACGAACGCUAGCGGCGUGCUUAAUACAUGCAAGUCGAGGGGCAGCAGCACUGUAUCGAUACAGUUGCUGGCGACCGACAAACGGGUACGGCACACGUACCCAACCUACCCCGAACUGGUGGCUAGCGCGGGCUGACGCGGAUUACUACUCCGUACUCUAACUGCAUGGCGUCACUUUAUUAGUUAAGCUGCGGCGGUUCGGGCUGGGCGUGCAGCUGAUUAGUGAGGUGGUUGAGGUAACGGCUGACCUAGCCGACGAUCAGUAAGUGGUGUGUGAGCAGGACGAGUCACACGGGCACUGGGACACUGGCGCGACUGCUACGGGAGGCAGCAGUACGGAAUAUAGGGGAAUGGAGGAAACUCUGACCCAGCCAAGCCGCGUGGAGGAAGAAGGCCCGCGGGGUUGUAAACUUCUUGUAGAGGGGACGAAACGUGUGUAUUGUUACGCAGUUGACGGUACCGUAUGAAUAAGCACCGGCUAACUCCGUG
rnacentral:rRNA from 1 species